rnacentral:tRNA from 6 species
GGGCUCAUAGGUAAACGGCAUACCGCAGCAUUCGCAUUGCUGAGUUCCGGGUUCAAUUCCCGGUGAGUCCA